rnacentral:rRNA from 1 species
CCCGGUGACCAUGGCAUAGGGGAAACACCCGAUCCCAUCCCGAACUCGGCAGUUAAGCCCUAUUACGCCGAAGGUACUGCGUGGGUAACUGCGUGGGAGAAUAGGUAGUUGCCGGGA